AAGUGAUGAAGGAUAGGAUCCCUCAAUGGACAUAGGGAUUGCGGGGAAUUCUCCUUUAAUAUGAAAGUCUCCUUCUUUUGGAAGGGACUUAGAGCAUCAUGUACCAUCCCUGGUGGAACCAAAAAGAAACUGAAGAAAAGUACACAUCAGAAAACCAUUGUCAAGACAAGGGAAGGAAUUUAUCCAGAGAGCCCAGCAAGGCUGGCCACGAACCCUGUUGUACUGACAAUUGCAUCAUCUUUGUCUUGUAGGUUCUCUUCCUAAGCCCUUGCUCUCAGUCCUUCCAGGUCCUGUGAUAGCCCCAGGAUUUCAUCUCACAUUCCAGUGCCAGCAACCACCCUGGUCUUCCCUCUGGGGACUGACAUUUGCACUGUUAAAGGCUGACAUCCCUGACCCCUUACAGCAACAAAGACCAGUGGGUACCCAGGCUUCCUUCCCUAUCCUGGUUGCGAGGACUCAGGAUUCAGGGAACUACAGCUGUGUUUAUUAUCAUUCGAGAACACUUCAGCACAAAGUGUCAGAACCCAGUGAUCCCCUGGAAAUCUGGGUAACAGAUUCAAGCGUCAAUUCACAGCAUACACAAGGUAAGAAAAGAAUGAAUUCCUACCAAAGAAAUCAUCCAGUGGAAAAGUACCAGAGUAGAAGGAAGAAUGUCAUAUGGAAGGACUAGCGUGGGAGGACAAGUUUGGAUGGCUCUCAGAGUAUAGGCAGUGGAAUAAUCAAUAUUUAAUGAAGGUAGAAAGAUUCCCUCCUGGUCAUAUUGUUAAGGCUUUUAGAACCUUAACAGCUGCCUUUAUAUUUUUUUUAAAGGCAAAAGACACUAAAGUUCAUUAAGAUAAGAGGUCACAUGGUCACAUCUGACACUUAAUAAAAACAUUUUGGAAGGAAUUUGUAGAUGUACAUGGGUGAUGAAAAAAUUAGUCAUUUCAGUAAUGUCUGACUCUUCCUGACUUCAUCUGGGAUUUUCUUGACAAAGAUCCUGGAGUGGUUUGUCAUUUUCUUCUCUAGCUCAUUUUACAGAUGAGAAAAUGGAGGCAAAAAGAGUUAAGUGACUUGCUCAGGGUCACAUAAGUAGCCUAGGUCUGAAGCUGGAUUUGGACGCAAGACUUCCUGACUAAGGCCCAGCUUUCUAUCCACUGUGCUACCUAGCAGCCUUUAAAAUGGACAAGAGUGAUGCGAAAAUUAGUCAGGCAUUUAGGAGGCUGUAAACAUAAUAUAGUUGAAAACUUAGUUGUUUGCAGAGGUGAUUUUUAUAAUACAUACAUAUUGUUGUUUUUGAUAUAUUGAUCAGUUGUGUUAAUU
rnacentral:lncRNA from 1 species